GAAUAUGCAAUCGAUAGUUUUAAGCUCUAUUUUAAUUUGUUUAGGCUUUGAUAUUUGUACCUUAGCCAAACACCCCCAUACUUUUAAGUAUUUAUACGAAGGUUUAUGACCUUUCCAUACCUCAUAAAGAGUUUCGUUCCUACCUUUGUGUGGUACUUUAUUUAGAAUGUGGUUAGCUGAGAAAAUUGCUUCCCCCUACAAAUUUUGUGGUAAACUAGAGCUAAUCAACAUAGCGUUCAUCAUUUCUUUUAGAGUACGAUUUUUGCAUUCUGCAAAACCAUUUGAUUGAGGUGAAUAAAGGGCUGUAGUUUGAUGAAUAAUCCCAAAAUCUGAACAAAAUUCAUCAAAUGGUGCUCCACAUUCCCCACCUCUAUCAUUACGAACAAUUUUUAUUCGUUUGCUUAGUUGAUUCUCAACCUCAUUCUUGUACUGUUUAAAUGCUUCUAGAGCCUCGUCUUUACUCGUUAGUAAAAAGACAUAACAAUAUCUUGUGCAAUCAUCUAUAAAAGUAAUAAAAUACUUUUUACCUCUUCUAGUUUGCACAAACUUUAAAUCACAAAUAUCACUGUGAAUUAGUUCUAGAGGAUUCGAGUUCCUUCCAACUGAAUGAAACGGUAUUUUCGCUAAUUUAGCCUCUACACAUGUUUCGCAUCGAUGAUUUUAAUCAAAGGACAUAGAAGGCAAUAAAUCUAAACUUACUAAUAUUCGUAGUGUAUUAACAUUUACAUGUCCUAACCUAUCAUGCCAUAAGUUAGAAGACUCAAUCAAGUAAGUAGAAGAUUUAUUUUUAUUAAUAUCAAAAUCACGGAGUACAGGCAUUACAUUCAAUUUGAAUAGCCCAUUGGCUAAGUACCCUUUGCCUACAAACAUGCCAUUUUUGGUGAGUACAAACUUGUCAGAUUCAAAUACCAGCCUAACCCCAUUCUUGCUUAACAGAGCUCCGGAUACCAAGUUUUUGCGAAUAUCGGGAACAUGCAGCACAUCGAUGAGUGUUACUUCUUUCCCUGAUGUCAUCUUCAGUACUACUUUACCUAGACCAAUAACUUUUGAUGUUGCUGAGUUGCCCAUGAAGAGUUGUCGUCCAUUGAUAGGAGUGUAAGAUGAAAACAUCUCCUUAUCUGCACAAACGUGACGAAUAGCGCCAGUAUCAACGAACCAUUCUCUCGGAUUAUCCACCAUAUGUGCUUCAAAUACAACAGUCGAGAGCAUUAGUUCAGACACUCCGUUAGACAGUCUAUCUUCUUCAGUCAAGUGCACUUGGUCCUUUUUGUUUAGCUUUUUCUGUCGGCAGUCUUUUGCAAUAUGACCAGGCUUACCGCAGUUAUAGCAAUCUCCUUUGAAUUUCUUGAUCUUGUUCUUUUGCUUGCUAUUAUUCGGGUGCUUCCUUUUCUUACUAGUAUUUGGCUCCACCAAGUUGACUUUAGCCUCCAUUUGCUGCUUUCCAGACUUCUUUUCAGCAUUUCGAUUGUUUUCCUCAAUUCUUAAUUUAACAAUCAAAUCUUCAAGUUCCAUUUCCUUGUGUUUAUACUUCAGGUAGUUCUUGAAAUCUUUCCACAUUGGUGGUAAUUUUUCGAUAAUUGCAGCUACCUGAAAUGGUUCACAGAGCUUCAUGCCUUCUGCAUGUAUAUCGUGCAAGAUAAGUUGUAUCUCUUGGACUUGAGUCAUUGCUGUUUUAGAAUCUACCAUUUUGAAGUCCAGGAAUUUUCCUACAACGAAUUUCUUCAAUCCGACAUCUUCUGUUUUGUACUUCUUUUCCAAUGACUCCUAUAGUAAUUUAGCCGUUUUGACGGAACAGUAUACGUUGUAUAGUGUGUUGUCAAGGCAAUUGAGAAUGUAAUUUUUGCACAAGAAGUCACUAUGACUCCAAGUAUCGAAUGCUGCUCAUUUUUGAGAAUCUGUUUACUUCUCCUCAACAGUUGGAGUAUCUUCUCUCAAGAUUUUGACCACAUUCAGAGUCGUGAGAUAUAACAACAUUUUCUGUUGCCAUCUCUUAAAAUCCACUCCUGUGAAUUUUUUCGAUUUCUCCCUGUGAGCAUUGUUAGGGGGUACGACAAACGUACAAGGGGGUACAACAGACGUACUACUACUUGCAAUUAUCGUUUUAAGAUUGUUGAAAAAUAUUCGCAAAUAAUAGUGUUAACGUAAUUUAUAUUUGGGCAGAGUAACGACGUUUGGAUGGUUUUGAAUGGUCGAGAUAAGAGUUCGACUCUUUCUCCUUAAAACAAUAAUGCCCCGCACUGGUACUGACGGUAUUGCAGCACUCGUUUCCCAAGAUAUAACGACCUCGUCUUGUAAUAGUAGUACUCCAAAUUUCAAGACCCGACGAACUCGUAAAGUUUAGAUCUCUCCACACACACUGGAUGACUGAAAUGCACGAAAAGUAAUUUUCGAGGACUGAAUUAUAAAGGCAAAAAUUAUUCAGGGACAAAGGAUAAUUUCGGGAGAGUAAAAAAUUAAUUCUGAUUUUGGAAUGAAUAAAAAUCGGGGUAUGGCGGUCUAUUUAUAGAUGUUGAAAGGUUGUGUCCCAACAGACACAACUGUCGAAAAGUUAUGUCCAAAAGACACAAACAGUUUGAACAGUCAACCGCCACAUUGGACAGUCAACCACCACAAAAGCACCGCACCACGUGUCACACACAGAAAAUUCAGGGAAGAAAAAAUUAAUAACAUAAAAUAUAUUAUUAUUAUAAUAAUAAAAUAAUAUAAUUUAAUGUUAUUUUACCAGAAAAUAUAUGUCAACUUGGCCCGAGCCCAUGACCCACUAUCCGUGACCAUGCCGAGCCAGCAUGUAGGACAGACGGCGGCGGCGACGCUUGCGCGGGGGUUUUGGCUUCGGCUUAUCCUACUAGCAUAUAGGUUAUCUUCUCUUCAAAAACUAUUGGUACCCCUGGGGGCCCAAACCCAAGUCCCAAACUUGAGCUAUAUAAGGUAGUUUAUAUUCUUCUAGUUUUCCUAUGUGGGAUUGGCAUUUUCCAAUAUUUCACUUAUUUUAUUUCAACAUCAAGUGAGCAUCUUUUGGCCUUAAUUACUCAUUCAUCCUAAAUUGAUUUUUGAGAAAAUAAAUAUACUAUAUUAAUCUACUCAUGGAGUAGAAUACAUUCAGCCAAAGAAAUCUUAUAUCCGAUUAACGGGACUCACUAAAUAAAUUGGUCAAAAGUUGGUCAAAUCAACUAAUUAAACCCAAUUUUCCGACAGAGCUUACUGCAUUGCAAUUUCUUUUACAAGCUUUAAGAAAGAGAAUUGUGUCAUUUUCUAGAGUUUUCAAAAAAAAAAAAAAUGGUAUAAACAAGUCGGACUGCUCAUAUGGAAAACUAUUGUUACAAUUAUUGUGUGGUUUUGUGAAUUUAUAAGGCUUUGUGAGGUGUUUGGUGGAGAAAAUUUUGGGAUAGGCUGCAGAAAAAAUGGCUGCAGCUUCAUUAUAAGUCUGAUUAGGCCUUUUUGGAGGUGUUCGAGGUUUUUGAGUCGAGAUGGCAAUAGGGGAAUUGCGUGAUUCAGUUAAAGUUGAAGAUGAUGAAUUUGAAAUCCAAGAAGAGGAUGGGGAUUUAAUAAUCUCAAGGUCUAAUCUAAUUGCUCUUCCACCUCCAUUUAACCAAGAAGACAUUUGUAGAAUACCAAAAAACCCUCCAAGAAUGACUAAAAUUUGAACUAAAACAAGAAAUGAACCAUUUGCAAAAAUGACUUAAAAACUAUAGAAUCCAAUGAAAGGGCCUAAAGGAACAACCUUAAAAUCAUCGAAUCAUGAAAGAAAGUAGAGAGAGAUUGGGUGGACGGGAUGAUUGAAAGGGAGUGGUGGGUUUAGGUGAUGAAGAAGAGAACAGAGGAAGAGACAAUUCUGGGCUUCAACAGUGGGCCAUAUUCUUGGCUUUCAACAGUUCAAUUAUGCUUACCAUCUUAAUGUCAUUUAUUAAGAGACCCCUACAUUUUUUACUUCUUAAUUCUGUUGGAUGAAUUUUGUGAAUUGUGACGCCGAAAUAAGUAUAAUGAUGGUGACAAAGCCGAGGCAAGAGUUGAACUCUUUGUCCUUAAGUCGAAUUUGCCCCGCAACGGUGCCUACGGAUUUCGGCAAUCGACUCCCAAGAUACAACGGCUACACUUGUGUUUGUAGCACUCCAAAACACAAGUACAACGAACCAAAUUUAGGCUUAUGUACUCCAAGAAUGAAAUGAAAGAAAAUCAAAAUAAAUGAAAUGAUUUUGAUUUUGGAUAGAAGAGAGGAUGAGAGACGUUUUGCAUAUCAAAUUGUGUGGAAUAGGACACCCAAAGGGUCCUAUUUAUAGACCAUGAAAGGGUGUGGACGAAAUGGUUGAGGCCAAACCAUGCACCCUUUCCAAACAAUGUACCUUUAUGAAAAGGUGUCUAUUCACUAAUUGUUGAGGCCAAACCAUGCACUCUUUCCAAAUAAUGCACCUUUAUGAAAAGGUGUCUAUUCACUGAUUUUCGUCCUUUUUUGUAAUUUCUCAUUCAUCCGAUAUUGGUUUUCGAAAUGUCAAAUAUACCCUUCAAUACAUGCAGGUCGAUCCCCGUUUGUGCGCCCCGAAGCGGCGAAGUGGCAAACAAUUUUGCCUAAACGGAUUGAGUCGAGCUUUUGAGUAUUUGGCCGAAGUCGAUACGAACUUUAAUCGAUUUUCAAUUCUCGAUUUAUUUAACCAAUAUCCAACAAAUUCUUAUCAUUUUAAUCAAUGGCCUUUGACUUUUGUAUAUGUAAUCAAGGCCUCAUGGUUCUUUUUCUAAUUACUUACUAUUAUUUAACUUGAGGCUUUCAUAAAACAUGUCUUGAGUUUUGAGGAACGAGAAAGAAAUCAAUGUUAAGAUAAGCACAAUUUUUUUCAAAGUGAACAUUAUGUAAGAGAACAGAUUAAGCACACGUCUUAAUUUUUACCAUUAACCCUGCAAUUUAUUUUACAAGCUUUAACAAAGAGAAUUGCGCUAUCUUCUAGAGUUCUCCAAAAUAAAAGGGGGGAAAAGAGGAAAAAAAAUUAAUUUCAUGCAUAUUUUAUUGUAAUGUUGCUGGUUAAGUGUUUUUUUUUUAAUAGAAAGUUAUGUAGCAAACACCUUAAAUAAGAUAAGUGGAAGUAUAUAAUGUCUAGCAUAAGACUUUCUCUUGGUCAAUCAUAGGAUUUUUGUGAAGCAUUCGAACUUGGAUUCUCGUGUAGAAGAACUUGAUAAGUUACUAUGGUUUGAUUAAACUGGAGCAGGUUCUUAUAUAUUGUUUGUAUGAUAGAAACUCAUCCGUGGAGAUGCUUGGAGUAUAAAUAUAGAUGGGCUGUGGAGUUGCUUAAUUAAUCUGUCAAUAGUAGACAGAGACUUUCACAAUCACAAUUUAUUGUUCUCUUUCAUUCAUGUUUACAUUUGGACUGCCUAUUGUAUAGGUCUUUGUACGUAAUAUAAUAGUUGAGUGGCAUAUAAAUCAUAUACCGGAACAAAUAUAAGUAUAAAUUAAGUAAAGAUUUUGUAGAAUCUGAUAAUUGAAUUCAAGAAACUUCUUUGCUUAUUGUGAAUUUGAAAAUUUUGCCUCCAACCAUUUCCACUGAUCAUCAAAUAGCAAUAAAAGGCUGAAUGUAUACUCAAAAGUAAUUGCCUAUUCUAUACUGGUGAGAAGAAAAAGUGAAGAGAAAUACAUUAUUUAUUUAUAAAUAAAAUAGAUUUUUCUGAAUAAUUCACAUAUUCUUGCUAAGUUUAGCUCUACAAACUUCCUAUAGCUCCAAGUUUUUAACUUGUGUUUACAGUUUACAAGUACUUGACUCUUGAAAACCAUAGUAACUCAUUUUGUUAUAGCUUAUAUUACUUAUCAUUUUUCACUAUCAACAUAAUUGCUAUUUUUAUUUCACCAUGAAAG
rnacentral:lncRNA from 1 species